AUAGUGACUGUGACAGCCGUUUUUAUUCUCCCACUAAUAUGAAUGAAGAAGAACUUUUUAAUCAGCUGUUCAAAGCUAGACUUGGACAUUCUCCAUAUGACAAAUACGACGGGUGGUCUGAUAUUGCCUUGGGGAGCAAAUUGUGAAAGAAUUGGGAAGUCAUAGUCUAUUUCACAAUCACACGAUAACCGACGUGUUGGAAGUUGUCAUCAAAUAUUAUAAGGAGUAUACAAGUGACCCUGGAUUGACUCAAAAGCGGUUGAGUCGUUCUCUCAAGCUCAAUAUUCGUCAAGUGUUUGACUCCUUUACUGACAAAUAUGGCUCUCUAACAUUUGAUGCCCUUGAAACAGUGCACUCUUUAGUUAGGCCGGAAAACAGUCUGAGUGAUGAAAUCAUAGGGUACAAAAAUGAUGUCUUGGAAGAACUCAUUAAGGUUUGUGAGGAGAAGGCGGGAAGGAUUCCCAUCCUUCCCUCCACAUCAGAUAGAAGGGGAAUUUGAGAGUAUAGGAAGGAGGAGGAAUUCUAUCAUGGGCACAAGCACAAAUAAAUUUCAUUUAGGCACACUCACAACAAUGUAUAAAAAUUAAAGAAAAAACAAUUAAAGUGAUAUUGAUUGAUGUGACCAUUUUAUUUUUCUUUUAAUUUUUUAAAUUCAUGUGUGUGUGCAUAAAUUUGUGCCUAUAUGUCUUGUGCCUAUACAAGAAUACCUCUAGGAAGGAGAGGGGUUAUGCGGGGCCUGUAGCACUGCAAUAUGGUGAAGAUUUGACUGCUCUGGGAAUUACUAAUGAUACGAAGUUUUGGUUACUCCAAAAUUGUAAUCCAAACUCUGUUGAAUAUAUAGCUUUGGUAAAUCAGCCUCUUCAAACAAGACUCGAUUAUUUUCGGAGACUUCUUGAACAAGCUGCUAUACUUGAAGCCGAAGGUUCCAGCCACCAGUGCUAAGUCUUCUAAAAGAAGAAAAGAACCAAGGAUCAAUUCCUAGGCUAGGUUGUGAUGCUCAUAUUGCUGUUGUCCCAGGUGCUGCAUGUCCGCCUCUGCUGCCCCAACCGGCCUCGGAUUCUAUUAGGCACUUGGAUUAUGUUGCAUAAGCUCAACAAAAGCUAGGCCAAACGGAUCCUUGGUCACAUGACAUGGUCGAAACUGCUACAUUACAUAAUAUGCGAAUUCCUGUUUUUGAGUACAAAGAUUGCUGAGACUGGAUAUGUUCGGUUUCAUUUUGCUCCAAAAAUGGGGCGGAAUGAAUAUCAGAUUUGUUAGAAUUGUGUCAAUUAAAAUUAGAAUGAAUAAACUAGACCCGUUAUUUGAUUUCUUUACUUGAAUUUUCAAAUCGUAAAGAUUUAUAUUAUGCUAUAUGCUUAAAUGUUCAGAGUAUAUUGUUGUGUAUUCUAUGUGAUGUGAGAUACUAAUAUUAACAUUAGUAUCAAUUAUUUAAGAAUGAUU